UACGUAGGGUGCAAGCGUUAAUCGGAAUUACUGGGCGUAAAGCGUACGCAGGCUGCUAUGUAAGACAGGUGUGAAAUCCCCGGGCCUAACCUGGGAACUGCAUUUGUGACUGCAUAGCUAGAGUCCGUCAGAGGGGGGUGGAAUUCCACGUGUAGCAGUGAAAUGCGUAGAGAUGUGGAGGAACACCGAUGGCGAAGGCAGCCCCCUGGGAUGAGACUGACGCUCAUGUACGAAAGCGUGGGGAGCAAACAGG
rnacentral:rRNA from 1 species